GGAAUCUUCGGCAAUGGACGAAAGUCUGACCGAGCAACACCGCGUGAGUGAAGAAGGGUUUCGGCUCGUAAAGCUCUGUUGUUAAAGAAGAACACGUAUGAGAGUAACUGUUCAUACGUUGACGGUAUUUAACCAGAAAGUCACGGCUAACUACGUGCCAG
rnacentral:rRNA from 1 species